rnacentral:rRNA from 1 species
CCAGCUCCAGUAGCGUAUAUUAAAGUUGUUGCAGUUAAAAAGCUCGUAGUUGGAUUUCUGACGAACCGGAGUGGCCCGUUCUCAUUCUGGGAAUGAGUGCCGCUUUGAGUUGGUCAUCCUUCCAGAGAGCUACGUCUACCGUUUACUCGGCCGGAUGUAUGCAAUCUGGAUCUAUUACUUUGAAAAAAUUAGAGUGUUUAAAGCAGGCUUAUGCUGUGAAUACAUUAGCAUGGAAUAAUAAUUUAGGACUUCGGUUCUAUUUUGUUGGUUUCUAGGACUGAAGUAAUGAUUGAUAGGGAUAGUUGGGGGUGCUAGUAUUCCGCGGCCAGAGGUGAAAUUCUUGGAUUCGUGGAAGACUAACUACUGCGAAAGCAUUCACCAAGGAUGUCUUCU